rnacentral:rRNA from 1 species
UACAGAGGUCCCAAGCGUUGUUCGGAUUCAUUGGGCGUAAAGGGUGCGUAGGCGGCGCGGUAAGUCGGGUGUGAAAUCUCGGGGCUUAACUCCGAAACUGCAUUCGAUACUGCCGUGCUUGAGGACUGGAGAGGAGACUGGAAUUUACGGUGUAGCGGUGAAAUGCGUAGAUAUCGUAAGGAACACCGGUGGCGAAGGCGGGUCUCUGGGCCGAUACUGACGCUGAGGAGCGAAAGCGUGGGGAGCGAACAGG